AGAGUUUGAUCCUGGCUCAGAUUGAACGCUGGCGGCAUGCUUUACGCAUGCAAGUCGAACGGCAGCACGGGCUUCGGCCUGGUGGCGAGUGGCGAACGGGUGAGUAAUGCAUCGGAACGUGCCCAUGUCGUGGGGGAUAACGUAGCGAAAGCUACGCUAAUACCGCAUACGCCCUGAGGGGGAAAGCGGGGGAUUCUUCGGAACCUCGUGCGAUUGGAGCGGCCGAUGUCGGAUUAGCUAGUUGGUGGGGUAAAGGCCCACCAAGGCGACGAUCCGUAGCGGGUCUGAGAGGAUGAUCCGCCACACUGGGACUGAGACACGGCCCAGACUCCUACGGGAGGCAGCAGUGGGGAAUUUUGGACAAUGGGGGCAACCCUGAUCCAGCCAUUCCGCGUGAGUGAAGAAGGCCUUCGGGUUGUAAAGCUCUUUCAGCUGGAACGAAACGGUGCGCUCUAACAUAGCGCGCUAAUGACGGUACCGGCAGAAGAAGCACCGGCUAACUACGUGCCAGCCGCCGCGUAAUUC
rnacentral:rRNA from 1 species